rnacentral:rRNA from 1 species
CUUUCAAGGUUUUUAGGCAAGGAAUAGCUGCGCAGACGAGGCGAGGCGUGGCGUGGUUUUUACUACGCGCUGGGGUCAGGAUGAGAGGGGUCAACAAUGAGGGUCGGUCGUCGUGGCAGGUCCCGGGCCGGCGUGCGAUGUUGAUCUUGGUUGGGGUCGGGGCCACGUCACGUGUCGGUCACAUCGAUCCGAGAGAGCGUCGCUCUCGUCCUGCGUCCUGCCGAUCGAUCGAAACUAGCCGGCCGGCCUAGCCUCACGAGCACACAGCCCCCGGUACCGGCCGCGGCGCCCGCUGUCCCGCCUUCCACACCCGCCACCGCCCCUGACCGGCGGCAAGCGGCCGCUGCGGAAGCGCCUCAUGAGCAGCAGCCACAAGCGCCUCGAGCCACCUACCAGCCUACCGGAACCGCGCCCGCGGCCCCUCGACGGCGGCGACCUAGACGGCCGCCGCUCGCGCAGGCCCGGCCAGGGCUACCGCGCCAGCCUGCUCUAGUACGGCCGGCGCAGUCCGCUCGGGCGUCCGCGGCGGAGGAGGACGAGGUCGCCGCUGCCGCGGCGUCGGCGGCGCCUCUUGCGGCUGUUCGGCGUCCUCCGGCGGCUGCGUCGCUCGUACUUCGGCCGCCGCCGCCGUCCCUUCUUCCCCGUCUUCGCCCGCGCCGUCGUCGCCAAGCGGAAGCACUGGUUCUCGCUUCAACUAGUGGAGCUCCUACCCAUGUCUACCUCCUUCAUACCCGUCUUUCGGCAGUUCUUGUCGGGAAAGGGUUCCUCGAUGAUGGCCACGUGGUUGUCGUUCACGUGGCACUUCUUCGCCCACCUCGCCAGCAGCCUCCUGGGGAGGCACCACUAGUGGUGGAUGCUCCCGGUCGUGACGGUGGUGGUCUGGAGGAAGGUCGCGCCGCCGUACGUGAAGGUGCCGCGGCGGUGGCAACGCGAGCGGCUCGUCUACAGCAAGCACAGUUGAGUCGUCGACAUGUUGGACGGCGGGGACGCGGCUGUUGUCUACUUAGGACGUAGCAGCCUCAGGCGGCAAUCGAGGCACGGCGGCAGAAACGUCGUCGAGUUGCCGCCGCUGCUUGACGCUUCCAGUUGAUCGAUAUCGGGGUGCCGCAGGCGCCACGUCUGUGGCAGCAGCAGCAACCACGGAGGCCUGCAAAGGAAACUGUACCCUGACGAACCGCUGUAGCACGGAGGUCCUCAUUCUUUACCUACUUCUAGAUAUUACCAUUAAUAAAAUUCUAUUAUCCAAAUAUUCGCUCUUGCCGAUGCCACACCUGCUCGAGCACGCGAGGGCGAUUGACCUGCUUGCUGAGGUACUGCGCAUCGUGUCGCAUAAAUGACGAUACCACACGUAACUGCAGCUCAUGUCCACGAGGUGGCAGGUUUGAUUGGGCUUUCAUCGCCGAGUCGAAGCACAACAAGGCAACCUUGUACUUACAGCCUCACCGGGUAUUGGCUUACGGCGGCAGUUGAAAGCGAUGACUCUACCGCAGGAGGCUUUCCCAUGAACCCACGGGUUGAGAGUUUUCAUUUACCCAUGGGUACAAACCCGGGUACCAACAGAGUCGCAGCGACUGGUCAUUUUCUUUAUAUAGAAGGAAGAGGGUAUCGGCGGAUGUCUCGUCCUCGAGUACCGCUACGUCUACAGCUGUAUCGGCGGAUGUCUCGUCCUCGAGUACCGCUACGUCUAUAGCCGGCGACCUCCACAACUUCAGCUCAAAAACAGUCUAGGGCAGCUGUCUAAAGGUGACGCUCUAGAGCGACGGCGUGUCGGGAACCAACGAAUGCUCUACAUGUUUAGGUACCUCACACUCGGACGACUCAGGUCGUAACCACUACACCUCUGCGAGGCCAGUUGUCAUUAACGUUACGCUAACGGAACAGACGUCGUCGUAGACUCGUAAGAUGCCCGUUUCUGUGGGGACUUCGGGGUCCGACCUCCUUCUCUUACGCUCAGCCUUCAAGUAGAUCGCUCGCGGUGGGUACGCGACUGUCCUACUCACGAAACCUUCGUUGUGAUUCUUCGAUACGUCUCUUUUUUUUACCGUGACAGCAUCAAGGAUGAUACCCCUGUUUUAAACUAAGAGAACUUCUUCGGACGAUCUUGUACAAGGACCUACACGUACCUACGUCUUUUACAGGAACCCUAUAUCUCGACCUUUAGACCCUGAAUCCCACAAGAUCUCGUAGGUACGGUAGGUUCACUCUCCUCUUAUAGGAAACAGAAAUCCUGUACGAACGACUUGUACGUUCAAGCGAUCUGCUUCCUACCCAUAUUGACUACUUCGAAAUACGUCAGAUAACCGUGGGUAGAGCAUGUCUCGAUAACGGCUCUCGCGGAAACGUAGACUGCAGCACGCGGUCUCAACCAGUAUCCCCUGGUGUGCGUCGAACUAGUCGAGCUGUACCAGGGCGUCCGGGCAAAGGAAGGGAACCUCUCGGAUUCCGACCGGUAUCACCCCCAUUGUAUUGGACAUUGUACGUGAACCCUGAUCGUUUAUACAAAUACACCGUGUAUUAAUUUCUCCUCUCUCUCCCAAUCUCAUUGUAUCCAUCUAUGGUAUAGUACAAUUUACGAUACGAUGAAACACAGUACGUACCGUUAUUUAUACUAGUAGAUACUAUGAUGAAAUACAAUGAUACGUGAUACCUCCAUCAUAGUAUGUGAUCAUAGUAUACGUACUAUGAUCAUAUACAAUGAAGGGUGAUACUGGUCGGAUUAUCAGAGGAGCAGGUGCACGGGGGAUAUUUCCUUGUACGGUUAGAGAAACAGUGUUGGUGGGACCAUUUUUCUCCUUCUACAAAUCAGCUCCAUAACGUGUUGGUCCUCGUUCACAUUCAAGAAUCUUGUCCACAACUUUAACGCAGUCGUACCUAGUUCUCUUGAAAAGGUAAGGUCCAUAUACUACGGUUUACUUGUAGGGUAAAUAUCUUCAAAACGACUUAGUGUACUGUUUUAACGAUACGUCAUGUGAAACGAUACAAAGGUUCGUCCUAAUAAUGAUUAGACGUUUCAAUAACGCUUGACUUAAGUAGGUAGACAGAAGACGAAAAAACACAACGCACACUAAGAGUUGUUUUUGUAUACCCAUAUUACUCUGUUCCUUGGGUUUGAUGCAUAUAGUUUACAAUAGUAGUCCAGACGGGUCACGUGCCUUCGGUUAGACUCAGUUCAAUACAAUAAGAAAAAACUUUGUCUUCAAUACCGAAUUAACACUUGCCUUCCCUUACGUCCGGUGAAUGACCACUACCAUCGUAAGACGUGGGUCAUCGUCCCAGGCCGCUUCGUUUAAUAGAGGGAUGACCGAUAUAGACUUGAGACUUCAGUACUGUAAAGAGUCUAGUCCCUUCCGCCUAUUGGUUUCCGCGAUGGGUAUCGAUCCCAAAGGUCGACUAACUAGCUACGAGAGGAUGUCGUAGGGAACUCUGGCUCGACCUAGAACUCGGAUAAUGUCUGCCCAUAACUAGUUUCUGCUACGUACCUCAUGUUGCGAAAGAUGACUACUGUCCUAAACGAUAACUAAAACGUGACGCGGAGUAAUAACCUGUCCGGGCACGUUCAGAGCUAGAGUACCGUUUUAAUAUACGGGUGGAUUAAUCGAAGUCGGAUAGACAAACUAGAUGAACUGGGAACCGUACAUCGUUAAACUAUCAUCAUCAUAUACCAGAAGAACGUGUUAUCAUAACAUAAUUGGAUUUGAAAAUACUGAAAGAUCGAUCGAUCGACGGAUCGUCCUAAUCAAACAACACCUACAUAUAUAUACAAGUUCUAAGACGUAUAUACGUCACGUCAUAGCCGCACUAGUAUGUCGAUCUAGUAAGUUGCGAAACAAGAAAUAAUGAGGG